rnacentral:rRNA from 1 species
GACGAACGCUGGCGGCGUGCUUAACACAUGCAAGUCGAACGGAAAGGCCCGGCUUUUGUGGGGUGCUCGAGUGGCGAACGGGUGAGUAACACGUGAGUAACCUGCCCUUGACUUUGGGAUAACUUCAGGAAACUGGGGCUAAUACCGGAUAGGAGCUCCUGCUGCAUGGUGGUGGUUGGUAAGUUUCGGCGGUUGGGGAUGGUCUCGCGGCUUAUCAGCUUGUUGGUGGGGUAGGUGCUUACCAAGGCUGUGACGGGUAGCCGGCCUGAGAGGGUUACCGGCCACAUUGGGACUGAGAUACGGCCCAGACUCCUACGGGAGGCAGCAGUGGGGAAUAUUGCACAAUGGGCGGAAGCCUGAUGCAGCAACGCCGCGUGCGGGAUGACGGCCUUCGGGUUGUAAACCGCUUUCGCCUGUGACGAAGCGUGAGUGACGGUAAUGGGUAAAGAAGCACCGGCUAACUACGUG